rnacentral:lncRNA from 1 species
GAUGGUUAAUUACGUUUUUCUGGUUAUCAGUUAGACCGCAUGGUUCUAUUAUUACAAUAGGAAAACACUGAGACGUUAAAUUGCAUGGUUUUAUUAUCAUAGGGAAACACCCGAGACGUCCCAAAAAUAUAUAGGUGCUCCUAUUUAUGGAGGAACAUUAAACAGUUGUGUACACACACAUGGCGGCAAGGAACACGAUCGGAAAUUAAUUUGACGAUAUCUAAACGUUUCGAAACGAAGUGAAAAAUAUCGUGCGCCACGUGGGCGCUUACAUUUGUCACUGUAUGCGCCAUUUCUUGUCAAUAUGCGCUAUAGGCGCAAGGCGCAC